GGUCGUUUCUCUUCGGGCCCAACACGAGCCCAAAAGCUUCCCAUCUUCUCCCAGAAGAUUAGCGGCGGGGGAGGCGGCGGCGACCGGCGGCGACAGGGUGGCCGGAUUUGCGGUCCCGUCUCCCUCUCCUGGGCUUCCGCCACCACCCGCGGGCGCUUCUCCUCCACCGGGAAGCCUGCCGUCGCGCGACGGCGACUCCCUUCGACUGUUCGACGCAAUGCCAGGGCAGGCCUGGUGGAGCGGAGGCGGAGCCGCUUCUUCGCUGCUUGAGGCGAGGCGUUCAGGGUGUUCGGCGAAAUGCUCGAGAGUCGCUUGUCCAGUCCUGGUCGGUGGCGACUUCGGCCGUCGAAGAUCUCGUGGGCGGCGACUGUGCUUCCGCUUCGUGAGCUUCUGAAGGACGCAUACCUUUUGAUACUACAUGCAAAGCAUCAUUCCGAGAGGUGCAUAUAAUUUAGAGCAAUCAUCGGCAUCGUGGUCAUGGUGUGUACAUGCUCUGGAAAACAACAUAGCACGACUGGUGGGUGAUUGGUUGUUUUCCAUUCUCCCGGCUCCACUGGUGUAUCUUUGUAGACCAUGGAUUAUGACUCUUGUGUCUAUCUCUGAAUUUUGGAAGUGCUUGAAGACUUGAAGUAAGCUGCGUAGCGUGUGAGGGCUGCAGGCUGCCAGUGGGAGCUGGCUUAUCAUUUGGGACACCACAGGGGAGACUGGUUCUUGUGUAGACAUGGUCUAUGGACUAUGGAACGGACUGAAGCCACACAGAUCUUCAGGUGCAGCACAAACUGGAGAAAUCCUUCGGCCAGAACAGAAACAGCAUAGGGAACACAAGAUGAUUACAGAAGAUCGGCUGCACAAAGACCAAUUCUAGAAACAGCAUAGAGGCCAUUUCCAGUUCAGACGACUGUAGUGCUGUACUGCUGUGCUGCACGUCGUACACGUCGAAGUCUGAAGAGGAUUGCUGCACUGCAGAUCAAUCAAUGAUUUUCCAAUUUUCGUCAAAACAAGAAACCAAUGAUUUUCCAGGCUCAUGGACACGGUCUACCCAGGCACCCAUCCGUAGACGUGCAAAAUUAUGAAAAACUGAUGGCGAUCUGGCGAUGAAUGAAUGAAUGAUUCGGACCGCCGCUACGUUGUUGCUGCCGACGCGUUCGUUGGCCGUGUGUCCGUGUCUCGGUCUGCAGUCUUCAGUGUCUCAGUCCGAUCGGAAUGAAAUGGAAUGGAGGAGAUGGCGGUGUGAACUGUCCUUGGUAGUGGAGUUGUGGAUUGGCUCGUAUACGACAAAUGUAUUUGGAUAUUUGGCACUUGUUAUCGCUGGAAAAAAUAUAGUCAAGUCGUGUACGAGGAAAACUGCAUGCUACUACCAUACAUACGAAGGAUAUCAAGUUCUUGACAUUUUGAUAUGGAGCAUAGCAAAACUGUUCUAGUUCUCGUUUGAAAUGCGAGAAUGUGUUCACAAAAGGCUGAUUCAUUUUAUUUAAAAUUCACGCAAUAUUCCUCUGUUCGAAGGAAAGGUCUUGUUGUGUUUUUCUUUUUCUUUUUUUUUCUUUUCUAGUGCAGGCUGAUCUGCUGUGCUGAGUGCAGACCGUGGCAGAAGUGAUUUACUUUUCCUUGUAUAAGGGGGUGUUUAAAUCCGGGGUGUAAAGUUUUAGCGUGUCACAUCGAAUAUUAUAUAAGGUAUCGCAUGUGGCAGAGUUUACAUUACCGGUUGACCACUAAAUUUCGAACCCCAUCGGUAUCACCGUUUUCGAUAAAUUUUGAUCGGUUUUUGAU
rnacentral:antisense_RNA from 1 species